CAGACAUGCUCUUACAAAGUCAGCAGAGAAAUGAAAACACAAGGUAACACUAGAAUUUUUAUUCUUUAGUAGCCAGGGAAGAACUUUGCCUCUUUAUUAGAAAUGAAAUCACAAGGUAUCACUAAUCUAAAUAGGUUAAUGACGUUUAUAUUUAUCGCGUUAAACUAUACUUUUUUUUUGUCAACCGUUAGAAUCUAAUAUAUUAAAACAUAAUUACAAAUAGUACUUAGCUCUAACUUUUUCUAAAAAAAUUACCAUCUCA
rnacentral:lncRNA from 1 species